rnacentral:rRNA from 1 species
CCUACGGGCGGCAGCAGUAGGGAAUCUUCCACAAUGGGCGAAAGCCUGAUGGAGCAACGCCGCGUGGGUGAAGAAGGUCUUCGGAUCGUAAAACCCUGUUGUUAGAGAAGAAAGUGCGUGAGAGUAACUGUUCACGUUUCGACGGUAUCUAACCAGAAAGCCACGGCUAACUACGUGCCAGCAGCCGCGGUAAUACGUAGGUGGCAAGCGUUAUCCGGAUUUAUUGGGCGUAAAGGGAACGCAGGCGGUCUUUUAAGUCUGAUGUGAAAGCCUUCGGCUUAACCGGAGUAGUGCAUUGGAAACUGGGAGACGUGAGUGCAGAAGAGGAGAGUAGAACUCCAGGUGUAGCGGUGAAAUGCGUAGAUAUAUGGAAGAACACCAGUGGCGAAGGCGGCUCUCUGGUCUGUAACUGACGCUGAGGUUCGAAAGCGUGGGUAGCAAACAGGAUUAGAUACCCUAGUAGUC